GCAUUGGUGGUUCAGUGGUAGGAUUCUCGGCUCCCACGCGGGAGACCUGGGUUCGAUUCCUGGCCAAUGCA